GUGGGGAAUAUUGCGCAAUGGGGGAAACCCUGACGCAGCGACGCCGUGUGAGGGAAGAAGGCUUUCGGGUCGUAAACCUCUGUCAGAAAGGAAGAACCUCCCAAGUCCGAAUAGGGCUUGGGACUGACGGUACUUUCAAAGGAAGCACCGGCUAACUCCGUGCCAGCAGCCGCGGUAAUACGGAGGGUGCAAGCGUUAAUCGGAAUCACUGGGCGUAAAGCGCGCGUAGGCCGCGUCUUAAGUCGGACGUGAAAGCCCUCGGCUCAACCGGGGAACUGCGUUCGAUACUGGGAGGCUUGAGUCCUGGAGAGGGUGGCGGAAUUCCGGGUGUAGGAGUGAAAUCCGUAGAUAUCCGGAGGAACACCGGUGGCGAAGGCGGCCACCUGGACAGGUACUGACGCUGAGGCGCGAAAGCGUGGGGAGCAAACAGGAUUAGAAACCCGUGUAGUCC
rnacentral:rRNA from 1 species